rnacentral:rRNA from 1 species
UCAAGCGAAGAAGGGCGCAGGGCGGAUGCCUUGGCACUGAGAGCCGAUGAAAGACGUGAUAAGCUGCGAUAAGCUUCGGGGAGGAGCAAAUAUCCUUUGAUCCGGAGAUCUCUGAAUGGGGAAACCCGGCUGUAUGGACUACAGUCAUCCAUAAGUGAAUCCAUAGCUUAUGGAAGGGAACCCGGGGAACUGAAACAUCUAAGUACCCGGAGGAAGAGAAAGAAACAUCGAUUCCGUAAGUAGCGGCGAGCGAACGCGGAAGAGCCCAAACCGUGAUGCGUGCAUCGCGGGGUUCGGACUGCAUAAGGGAUUCAGUAACGGCAGGAGAACGGCUUUGGAACAGCCGGCCAGAGAGGGUGAGAGCCCCGUAUCCGAAGCCAGAGCUGACCCGGCAGGAUCCAGAGUACCACGGGACACGGGAAACCCUGUGGGAACGAGCGGAGACCACUCCGUAAGGCUAAAUACUACUCAGUGACCGAUAGCGUAUAGUACUGUGAAGGAAAGGUGAAAAGAACCCCGGGAGGGGAGUGAAAGAGAACCUGAAACCCUGUGUCUACAAGCUGUGGAAGUACUUCUCAGGUACGACCGCGUACUUUUUGUAGAACGGUCCGGCGAGCUGCGGGUACUGGCAAGGUUAAGCACUUCAGGUGCGGAGCCGUAGGGAAACCAAGUCUUAAGAGGGCGUUUUAGUCAGUACGUGCAGGCCCGAAACCGGGUGACCUAUCCAUGUCCAGGUUGAAGCCGCCGUAAAAGGCGAUGGAGGACCGAACCCACAUCCGUUGAAAAGGGUGGGGAUGAGGUGUGGAUAGCGGAGAAAUUCCAAUCGAACCCGGAGAUAGCUGGUUCUCCUCGAAAUAGCUUUAGGGCUAGCCUCAUACAAGUCUGCCGGAGGUAGAGCACUGAAUUUCCGCGGGGGCGUCAAAGCCUACCAAAGAAUAUCAAACUCCGAAUGCCGGACAGAUGGUGUAUGGGAGUCAGACUGUACGAGAUAAGUUGGACAGUCAAAAGGGAAAGAGCCCAGACCGCCGGCUAAGGUCCCAAAGUGGGUGUUAAGUGGAAAAGGAUGUGGGAUCUCUAAGACAACCAGGAUGUUGGCUCAGAAGCAGCCAUUCAUUAAAAGAGUGCGUAACAGCUCACUGGUCGAGAGGUCCUGCGCCGAAAAUGUCCGGGGCUGAAACACCACACCGAAGCCGCGGAACCCGUAAGGGUUGGUAGAGGAGCAUUCUUAGGGGAGCGAAGCAUUACCGGAAGGGGAUGUGGACCGCUAAGAAGAGAGAAUGCCGGAAUGAGUAGCGAGAGCAAGGUGAGAAUCCUUGCGGCCGAAUAUCCAAGGUUUCCAGAGUAAAGCUGAUCUGCUCUGGGUAAGUCGGGGCCUAAGGAGAGGCAGAGAUGCGUAUCCGAUGGACAGCAGGUUUAAGAUUCCUGCACCCCUUGUUAUCAGAACUGCGGGGACACGGGAAGGGAAGCAGAGCCGGGAAUGGAAAGCCCGGUGCAAGCGAAGUAGUCGCAGGGUUGGAAAAUCCGCCCUGCAUGAGACGAAGGCGUGAUGCGGAGCGAAAUGAAGUAGUGAAGCUGCGGCCCCUUCCUGUCGAGAAAAGCCGCUAUCGUGUAGCAAGGGCCCGUACCGUAAACCGACACAGGUGGAUGAGGAGAGGAUCCUAAGGCCGGCGGGAGAAGUGUUGUUAAGGAACUCGGCAAAAUGACUCCGUAACUUCGGGAGAAGGAGUGCUGCGCAAGCAGCCGCAGAGAAAUGGCCCAAGCAACUGUUUAGCAAAAACACAGGUCUAUGCGAAACCGGAAGGUGAGGUAUAUGGGCUGACGCCUGCCCGGUGCUGGAAGGUUAAGGGGAGAGCUUAGCGCGAGCGAAGGUUUGAACUUAAGCCCCAGUAAACGGCGGCCGUAACUAUAACGGUCCUAAGGUAGCGAAAUUCCUUGUCGGGUAAGUUCCGACCC